rnacentral:rRNA from 1 species
UACGGGGGGAGCAAGCGUUGUUCGGAUUUACUGGGCGUAAAGGGCGCGCAGGCGGCGUGACAAGUCACUUGUGAAAUCUCCGGGCUUAACCCGGAGCGGCCAAGUGAUACUGUCGUGCUAGAGUGCGGAAGGGGCUACUGGAAUUCUCGGUGUAGCGGUGAAAUGCGUAGAUAUCGAGAGGAACACCUGCGGCGAAGGCGGGUAGCUGGGCCGACACUGACGCUGAUGCGCGAAAGCCAGGGGAGCGAACGGG